AUCUAAUUGAAGUAGUACAGCAAUACCGUCGUUGCUGAUACUCUGCUGAUGGUCAGACAAACAUUGAGAGUUGCCUAUAAUUUGUGUAGUUUAAGGCCUAACUAUAAUGUGAAUAAUAGCCUUGACAGACGACAGCUUUAACCCUGAUUAACUGCGCACUUAAUCAGAUCCAAAUUCAUAGGUGACAGACAGCAGCGAUGCGAGUUAGCGAACAGCUGAUCGGCAUAUUAACAACAUUUUCAAUUUGAUGAAACAAAAAUGGAUAGAAGACAAGCAUUGCGAUUGUUAGCCGCACAGAUGGUGCAAAACCACAAUUUGUUAAACCAAAGAAUAAAAACAUUACUAGUGAUCCUGCUUCAAAAGAUUAAAACGAUAAAUGAAUUGACAAAAGCGAUACUGGAAACUAGUACCAAGUGGCGUCUUCGGAAAUAAAGGAAAGAAGCGCCUGGAAAUUUGACCGCAAUAGCAGUUUUUGGGAGUACGAUGUCAAAAAGAUGGAUGACAUCCGAUUUAAAGAAAACUUUCGUCUAAACAAAGAAGCUUUUCACAAAAUAUGUGAAAAGGUUAAGGAAAUCGGAAAGUCCAACAGCAACAUGCGACUUUGCAUUCCACUUCAGAAAAGAGUGGCUAUUGCGUUGUAUGCGUUAGGUUGUUCAGCGGAAUACAGAACUGUAGCAAGUUUAUUUGGCGUAGGACGCACCACAGUUGGGGAAAUAGUUGUGGGGUUUUGCAAAGCUGUGUACACAAAUUUAUCGGAUUGCAUCAAUUCCUAUCCCCCAAGCACAGAAGAAGUAGAGCGAAAUGUACAAGGUUUUGCACACCUUGGUUUUCCGCAAUGUUUUGGAGCAAUAGAUGGCUGCCACAUUGAGGUUCAGCCGAAAAAGGAAGAUGCGAUCGAUUAUUACAAUUAUAAGGGGUGGUAUUCGGUUGUUCUGCUGGCAAGUUGCGACUAUAGAUCAAAAUUUACAUAUAUACACGUUGAGUCAACUGGAAGAAAUAAAUUAGUUUAGUUCCUUAAAAAAAUUCCAUGAAACCGCUUAUAUUUUUGCUCAGAGCAUCAAAAUGAUUGGAGAUGUUAAUGUCCCCGUAUUACUUAUUGGCGAU